GACAUGAUGGCCGAGUGGUUAAGGCGUGAGUACUCCCGGGACAUUACAGGUCAUAGCCAAAAUAAAAAGCUAACAGAGUUUAGGCUGCCCUGCUAGUCACCUCUGUGGUUUAGCAGUUGCUAGGCAGUUCGUUCGCGAGCGCAGGUUCGAAUCCUGUUCAUGUCG
rnacentral:tRNA from 1 species